GCAUCUCAAUGGCAGAGCAUCUGCUUUGCAUGCAGAAGGUCCCAGGUUUGAUCCCUAGCAUCUCCA